rnacentral:rRNA from 1 species
AACGAACGCUGGCGGCAGGCCUAAUACAUGCAAGUCGAACGGAUGUAGCAAUACAUUAGUGGCGCACGGGUGCCUAACGCGUGGGAACAUACCCUUGAGUAAGGAAUAAUGUCUGGAAACGGACACUAAUACCUUAUAAUGACUUCGGUCCAAAGAUUUAUCGCUCAAGGAUUGGCCCGCGUCUGAUUAGCUAGUUGGUGAGGUAACGGCUCACCAAGGCGACGAUCAGUAGCUGGUCUGAGAGGAUGAUCAGCCACACUGGGACUGAGACACGGCCCAGAGUCCUACGGGAGGCAGCAGUAAGGAAUAUUGGACAAUGGGGGAAACCCUGAUCCAGCCAUGCCGCGUGAGGGAAGAAGGCCUUAGGGUUGUAAAGCUCUUUCAAUAGUGAAGAUAAUGACGGUAGCUAUAGAAGAAGCCCCGGCUAAAUUCGUGCCAGCCGCCGCGGUAA